GGGUGGUUAGCUCAGCUGGGAGAGCAUCUGCCUUACAAGCAGAGGGUCGGCGGUUCGAUCCCGUCACCACCCACCA
rnacentral:tRNA from 69 species